rnacentral:lncRNA from 1 species
UUAGGGUUUAGGGUUUACGUUUAGGGUUUAGAGUUGAUGCUUUAGGGUUUAGAUUUGAAGGUUUAGGGUUUAGGGUUUAGAGUUGAUAUUUCGGGGUUUAGGGUUUAGAGUUGAUGUUUCAUGGUUUAGGGUUUAGAGUUGAUGUUUCGGGGUUGAGGGUUUAGAGUUGAUGUUUCAUGGUUUAGGGUUUAGAUUUGAUGAUUUAGGGUUUAGAGUUAAUGUUUUAAGUUUAGAUUAGUUAACCUUAUGUUUUUUUUUUGCCAAAGUUAAUCAAAGGGUUAUAAAUGUCUUUUACCCUUCAUUAUAGAUGAGGGUAAAAGUGGUUAGUGUAAACAUGAAAAGUGCUACUUUGAAAAUGGUAAUUUUUGG